rnacentral:tRNA from 1 species
CCGGCGGCGGGCAGCACAAAGGCCCGCACCCUUCAAGGGUGCGGGCCUCAGCGUGCUACUGGCUACCGCCGGC